UCAAUGGCUCUACCGUCAUCAGCUCCCAACUCACUUGUUAUCAUUCUGACUGCACUGAGAUACUCAAAGGGAUCAUCUCCUGUAUUGAAUUUAGGAGCAUCCAACUUUAAGUACUCGGUCAUCUUCACCUUACUUCCCCCUGAAGAACUGGGUUGCUGUGCUUCCACAACAGGGGCUACUGGUUCAGGAGGUGGUGGUGGAGGAACUGGUUCCCUCACUUCAGGCUGUACUGGACUUGGAUGAACAGAUGGGGGUGGAUACAUGUGAGAUGGUGGAUAAAAGGAAGGAUAGGGCAUAUAGGGCAUGUAGGGUGGAUAGGGG
rnacentral:lncRNA from 1 species